rnacentral:rRNA from 1 species
GUAAGGAAUAUUGGUCAAUGGACGAAAGUCUGAACCAGCCAUGCCGCGUGAAGGAUGAAGGCCCUCUGGGUUGUAAACUUCUUUUAUCUGGGACGAAAAAAGGGUAUUCUUACUCACUUGACGGUACCAGAGGAAUAAGCACCGGCUAACUCCGUGCCAGCAGCCGCGGUAAUACGGAGGGUGCAAGCGUUAUCCGGAUUCACUGGGUUUAAAGGGUGCGUAGGUGGGUAUUUAAGUCAGUGGUGAAAUCUCCGAGCUUAACUCGGAAACUGCCAUUGAUACUAUUUACCUUGAAUGCCCUGGAGGUAAGCGGAAUAUGUCAUGUAGCGGUGAAAUGCUUAGAUAUGACAUAGAACACCAAUUGCGAAGGCAGCUUACUACGGGGUGAUUGACACUGAGGCACGAAAGCGUGGGGAGCAAACAGGAUUAGAAACCCGGGUAGUCC